UGUUUCGGCCUGAUACUUUAUAUCCUCUGCCUAAGACAGGGUUCUGUGAAAAAAAGAACGUCUCUUCGCGCGAAACCCCCCAAAAAGUCUGGAACUUUCUGUUGGUUUCUCAGUGCUUGUGCUUAUGAUGUCUCCUUAUUUGAAUUGGUUCGGGCAAUGGUGGAGCACUUGAUCGUGCCAUUCUUCGCCGGAUAAUCAAUCGGUGCGACGGUGCUCCGAUCGACGUCCAUGGCCGGUGAGACAGAGGUAGCCGCUGCUCCUGAGCUUGCUCUCGCCGACACCGACAUCAACUGGGCCAGGCUCGACAAGACGAGGUUUCACGUUAUCGGAGCCAUUCUAUUCACUGCUCAGCAAGCUUUGUUACACCCAACAACAGUGGUAAAGACAAGAAUGCAAGUGUCUGAUCCUGAAUUCUCUCGUCUGCGUGCAAUUUCCGUCUUCAGAUCCAUUCUUCGGAACGAUGGGAUUCCGGGUAUUUUCAGAGGGUUUGGCACUUCGGCCGUUGGUGCUCUGCCUGGUCGUGUCUUGGCCUUGACGUCCCUCGAAAUGUCCAAAGAUAUGAUGCUGGGAUAUACUGAACACAUAGACAUGCCUGAAGCAUCGCGCAUUGGCAUCGCAAAUGGAGUCGGUGGCAUGUUAUCCAACUUGAUUUCUUGCGUAUACUUUGUGCCUCUCGAUGUGAUUUCCCAGAGAUUGAUGGUACAAGGGCUUCCAGGGACAACUCAUUACAAUGGACCCUUCGACGCUAUAAGCAAAGUCUUAAGAACAGAAGGGUUCCGAGGUUUGUAUAGAGGGUUUGGCUUAACAUCUGUGACUCAAUCUCCUGCAUCUGCUCUCUGGUGGGGAACUUAUGGAACAGCUCAACAUGUUAUCUGGAGGAGCUUAGGGUACAGAGAAGAUUCAGACAAGAGGCCAUCGAAUCUUGAGAUGGUGAGCGUUCAGGCAACAGCGGGAAUGGUUGCUGGUGCUUGUUCCUCUGUUGUUACCACUCCUAUAGACACUGUCAAAACUCGUCUUCAGGUAAUGGAUGAUUAUGGGGCGGGGAGACCAUCGGUACUGAAAACAGCGAAAGUGCUGAUCGAGGAAGAUGGAUGGUGGGGGUUCCACAGAGGCUUUGGACCACGGUUCUUGAACAUGUCUCUCUAUGGAACCACGAUGAUCGUCACCUACGAGCUAAUAAAGAGGCUGUCUGUAAAGCAACAAGGAUAAAACUCGGAGGACACUGAGAAAUCUGGUGUAGAUUCUGCUGAGAGUUUAUUACCACCUCGGCUUCAGAUGCAAUUUCAGAUUCCAGGGAUCAGUUCUGAUCCAAAAUGAGAAGGCAUUAUUCAUUUUGUUCUUUGCCAUCUAUUAAAGAACGCAACUACAGGAACACAUCUGAUCGUGAACACCGACAUUCAGUCCACUGUCCUGUGAACAAACUAAAACGAAAAAAGAAAGGCGUUGACUUUCGAGCUGGUCACGUUUGUCAGCAGAAAAGUCAGAGCCUUUUCUGAUUCGGCGGCGGCGGCGACGGCGGCGGAGGCCAUGGUUUCGCUUUCGGUCCACGUGAAGUGGGCGAUCUCCGAAUGGUCGACUCACGAGCCAGUAGGAGACGGAGGAGGAUAGCGGCGGAGGCCUUACCUGAAUCUCACGCGCCGCCGCCGAGAGUCGGCACUGUAGAGUGGAAUCCAACGGUCUCAACAAAAGUUGGGAUUGGUGAUUGGUUUCGAAGUGGGUCCCACAGUUCGUGAUUGGACCAACGGUCUGAUGAAUGGGGAUGUGCAGAAAGCGGAAACUAUAAAUUGAUGUGUAUGCACUAUGCAUACAUGUAUGUAUGUAUGUAUGUAUGUAUGUAUGUAUGUAUGUAUGUAUGUAUG